CGGGAUAUAGCGCAGUUUGGUAGCGCGCCUGCUUUGGGAGCAGGAUGUCGCAGGUUCAAGUCCUGCUAUCCCGAUCU
rnacentral:tRNA from 1 species